GGUCGACUGGUGUAGUGGUUAUCACGUCUGUCUUACAAGUGCAUCGUUACGGUGUAUUGUGAGGACACAGAAGGUCGCAGGUUCGAUCCCUGCGUCGAUCA
rnacentral:tRNA from 1 species